rnacentral:rRNA from 1 species
UCCUACGGGGCGCAGCAGUAGGGAAUCUUCCACAAUGGGCGAAAGCCUGAUGGAGCAACGCCGCGUGGGUGAAGAAGGUCUUCGGAUCGUAAAACCCUGUUGUUAGAGAAGAAAGUGCGUGAGAGUAACUGUUCACGUUUCGACGGUAUCUAACCAGAAAGCCACGGCUAACUACGUGCCAGCAGCCGCGGUAAUACGUAGGUGGCAAGCGUUAUCCGGAUUUAUUGGGGGUAAAGGGAACGCAGGCGGACUUUUAAGUCUGAUGUGAAAGCCUUCGGCUUAACCGGAGGUGGGCAUUGGAAACG